AUUGAACGCUGGCGGCAGGCUUAACACAUGCAAGUCGAACGAGCGGCGGACGGGUGAGUAAUGUCUGGGAAACUGCCUGAUGGAGGGGGAUAAAUACUGGAAACGGUAGCUAAUACCGCAUACCAUCAGAUGUGCCCAGAUGUGAUUAGCUAGUAGGUGGGGUAAUGGCUCACCUAGGCGACGAUCCCUAGCUGGUCUGAGAGGAUGAACAGCCACACUGGAACUGAGACACGGUCCAGACUCCUACGGGAGGCAGCAGUGGGUAAUAGUGCACAAGGGGCGCAAGCCUGAUGCAGCCAGGCCGCGUGUGUGAAGAAGGCCUUCGGGUUGCAAAGUACUUUCAGCGAGGAGGCGUUACCCGCAGAAGAAGCACCGGCUAACUCCGUGCCAGCAGCCGCGGUAAUUC
rnacentral:rRNA from 1 species